CACGUAGGGCGCGAGCGUUGUCCGGAAUUAUUGGGCGUAAAGAGCUCGUAGGCGGCCUGUUGCGUCCGCUGUGAAAGCCCGGGGCUUAACCCCGGGUCUGCAGUGGAUACGGGCAGGCUAGAGGUAGGUAGGGGAGAAUGGAAUUCCCGGUGUAGCGGUGAAAUGCGCAGAUAUCAGGAGGAACACCGGUGGCGAAGGCGGGUCUCUGGGCCGUGACUGACGCUGAGGAGCGAAAGCGUGGGGAGCGAACAGG
rnacentral:rRNA from 1 species